UGCAUGGUUGUCGUCAGCUCGUGUCGUGAGAUGUUGGGUUAAGUCCCAUAACGAGCGCAACCCUUAUCGUUAGUUGCCAGCGGGUAAUGCCGGGGAACUCUAACGAAACUGCCGGUGUAAACCGAGAGGAAGUGGGGAUGACGUCAAAUCAGCACGGCCCUUAUGUCCAGGGCUACACACGUGUUACAAUGGCCGGUACAGACGGACGCAAAGCCGCGAGGUGGAGCAAAUCCUAAAAAGCCGGUCUCAGUUCGGAUUGCAGGCUGCAAUUCGCCUGCAUGAAGUCGGAAUCGCUAGUAAUCGCAGGUCAGCAUACUGCGGUGAAUACGUUCCCGGGCCUU
rnacentral:rRNA from 1 species